GACGAACGCUGGCGGCGUGCCUAAUACAUGCAAGUAGAACGCUGAAGAGAGGAGCUUGCUCUUCUUGGAUGAGUUGCGAACGGGUGAGUAACGCGUAGGUAACCUGCCUUGUAGCGGGGGAUAACUAUUGGAAACGAUAGCUAAUACCGCAUAACAAUGGAUGACACAUGUCAUUUAUUUGAAAGGGGCAAUUGCUCCACUACAAGAUGGACCUGCGUUGUAUUAGCUAGUAGGUGAGGUAACGGCUCACCUAGGCGACGAUACAUAGCCGACCUGAGAGGGUGAUCGGCCACACUGGGACUGAGACACGGCCCAGACUCCUACGGGAGGCAGCAGUAGGGAAUCUUCGGCAAUGGGGGCAACCCUGACCGAGCAACGCCGCGUGAGUGAAGAAGGUUUUCGGAUCGUAAAGCUCUGUUGUAAGUCAAGAACGAGUGUGAGAGUGGAAAAUUCACACUGUGACGGUAGCUUACCAGAAAGGGACGGCUAACUACGUGCCAGCAGCCGCGGUAAUACGUAGGUCCCGAGCGUUGUCCGGAUUUAUUGGGCGUAAAGCGAGCGCAGGCGGUUUGAUAAGUCUGAAGUUAAAGGCUGUGGCUCAACCAUAGUUCGCUUUGGAAACUGUCAAACUUGAGUGCAGAAGGGGAGAGUGGAAUUCCAUGUGUAGCGGUGAAAUGCGUAGAUAUAUGGAGGAACACCGGUGGCGAAAGCGGCUCUCUGGUCUGUAACUGACGCUGAGGCUCGAAAGCGUGGGGAGCGAACAGGAUUAGAUACCCUGGUAGUCCACGCCGUAAACGAUGAGUGCUAGGUGUUGGAUCCUUUCCGGGAUUCAGUGCCGCAGCUAACGCAUUAAGCACUCCGCCUGGGGAGUACGACCGCAAGGUUGAAACUCAAAGGAAUUGACGGGGGCCCGCACAAGCGGUGGAGCAUGUGGUUUAAUUCGAAGCAACGCGAAGAACCUUACCAGGUCUUGACAUCCCGAUGCUAUUUCUAGAGAUAGAAAGUUACUUCGGUACAUCGGUGACAGGUGGUGCAUGGUUGUCGUCAGCUCGUGUCGUGAGAUGUUGGGUUAAGUCCCGCAACGAGCGCAACCCCUAUUGUUAGUUGCCAUCAUUCAGUUGGGCACUCUAGCGAGACUGCCGGUAAUAAACCGGAGGAAGGUGGGGAUGACGUCAAAUCAUCAUGCCCCUUAUGACCUGGGCUACACACGUGCUACAAUGGUUGGUACAACGAGUUGCGAGUCGGUGACGGCAAGCUAAUCUCUUAAAGCCAAUCUCAGUUCGGAUUGUAGGCCGCAACUCGCCUACAUGAAGUCGGAAUCGCUAGUAAUCGCGGAUCAGCACGCCGCGGUGAAUACGUUCCCGGGCCU
rnacentral:rRNA from 1 species